AUUGAACGCUGGCGGCAGGCCUAACACAUGCAAGUCGAGCGGAUGACGGGAGCUUGCUCCUUGAUUCAGCGGCGGACGGGUGAGUAAUGCCUAGGAAUCUGCCUGGUAGUGGGGGACAACGUUUCGAAAGGAACGCUAAUACCGCAUACGUCCUACGGGAGAAAGCAGGGGACCUUCGGGCCUUGCGCUAUCAGAUGAGCCUAGGUCGGAUUAGCUUGUUGGUGGGGUAAUGGCUCACCAAGGCGACGAUCCGUAACUGGUCUGAGAGGAUGAUCAGUCACACUGGAACUGAGACACGGUCCAGACUCCUACGGGAGGCAGCAGUGGGGGAUAUUGGACAAUGGGCGAAAGCCUGAUCCAGCCAUGCCGCGUGUGUGAAGAAGGUCUUCGGAUUGUAAAGCACUUUAAGUUGGGAGGAAGGGUUGUAGAUUAAUACUCUACAAUUUUGACGUUACCGACAGAAUAAGCACCGGCUAACUCUGUGCCAGCCGCCGCCGUAAGAC
rnacentral:rRNA from 1 species